GGUGCUUCAUGUGGAUAGAUGGGGGAAACUGUAAAGGAGAAAAAAAAUGUGCCUCCUAAAUAAUAUCCCUCAUCGGGUCGUAUCGACACCUCAAAGUUCAUGAGGUCAUCCUUGCCAUUGGGAAAGGUUAUAUUACAUGAUUUGGGUAGAUUCAGCUCACUAAUAUCUUUGUGAAGACGUAAUUCCCCAGCACUUUGUUUCUUUGUAGGUACCCCAUUACUAGCAUUUUCAGCAAGCUCUCUCUGCUUCUCCUUGACUUUAAAUAGC
rnacentral:misc_RNA from 1 species